GCUGCUUGUCUCAAACACGCACACAGACAGAGAGGUAAGACGAGGAGGAGCUCCAGCUCCGCAGGACCGACCGCGUAAACGGAAGGCUGCUCAUGCGCUUGGAUUAUACCGGGCAGAGAACUGUCACCGCUCAUAGCAGCGACAGCACACCUUUCCCCUCGCUGCUCUCUGCCGCGCACUGCAGCUCAUUAACUCGUCUUCUAACAUUAAUUAAUACAUAAAUAAGUCUGGAUAUCCUGCGCAAACACUACAACAGUAGCGGCGUUUAUGUGAUUUUUUUUCUAGUUUUGUUUGUUUGUUUGUUUUGUUUUUCUUACCCCACCCUGGAUAAAAUUGUUUAAAAGUAUUUUUCUUUUCACCUGCACGGCUUGAACCGCAGAAUCCGUGAGUCGUCGGAGGAAGAGGGACUUCCUCCUUUCGCAUCUAUACGUCUCUCCCUGGAACUGCAUCAUCUAAAAUUUGGUCUUAUCUGUGUGCGGACGAUAUGAGGUCUGCAGGCUCCUUGUGGAUUGUUUGGUCUCUUCUGGUGCUCAGGGAGGCAGCAGAUGCUGGAACAAUCUCAGACACAUCACUCAGUCCCGGACAGAGCACCGGGAUGGGACAGAGUGAGAAGGCGCCGAGCCAAGGUCAACACAGAUGUGUCGAGCCAUCCAAAGGAGAUGCCCAAGAAAACAGAACCGGUCUGUUCUGCGCUCCAAUGUGGGACGGAUUUUUGUGCUGGAAUGAGACACCGGCUGGGGAAUCGGUAACUCUGCAGUGUCCAGAUCACCCUGACCUCGGUGCAACCGGUACGUUUUCUGCUUUUCUCACUAGAGUAGAACAACCCAGCUGGAAACUGUUUCCUGUUGAACUACAUUUUUACACACCAAUGCAGUGUGUGCGGUUGCGUGUGUGUGCGCGCGCGCGCGCAUGUGUGUGUCCAUAACGAUGGAAUCCUUCACCACUUCAUCUGCUCUUGAAACCCUGAUGUUUUCUGAUUUAAGUCAGAUUUAGAGUUUGUAACACAAGCAUAGCUCCUUAACUUCUUUCAAUGCCCUGUUUUCUCAUAAUGCUAAUUCUACCACGUCUUAUUUUACAGCUACUUGUUUUCACAUUCCAUGAUGUUAGAUUCAUUAAUCUUGCGUUGCAUUCUAACAUGUCAAAUUCUAAGAUAAAAAUGCUUCUGCUUAGGGGUUUCACGCACCCCUUUCUCCAACACCAGC